rnacentral:misc_RNA from 1 species
AAGUCGUAACAAGGUUUCCGUAGGUGAACCUGCGGAAGGAUCAUUAAAGGAACUUCGUUCUUGAGCGGAGUAAUUCUUAACCCGUGUCUACCUUACCUUUGUUGCUUUGGCGGGCCGCCUUCGGGCGUCGGCUCCGGCUGACAGUGCCCGCCAGAGGACCCCAACUCUUUUAUUUAGUGAUGUCUGAGUACUAUAUAAUAGUUAAAACUUUCAACAACGGAUCUCUUGGUUCUG